AAUCUAAUAUACCCCAAUACUCAUUUUGAGUAUCGGGUAUAAACAACUCAAAAAUUCGCUAAAAUGCACGUACAGAGCGUGCUUGGUUUUUGGCUGGUGAUGCCCCGUUCUAUGGUUUAACAAUUACUGCCAGUGUCAGUGCAACGAAACGAAGAAAUACAAAAUAUUUAUCAAAAUACAACUAAAAAUCGAAAACUUGUAUCAAAUGUUUUGUGUUUGAGUGGUGUUUUUGCUGCAGCAGCAGAUAGUUUUGCGCUUUUUGUGCACAAAAAAAGUGCAGUAUUCGAAACGUGGCCACAAGCGGCAGGCACAAAAACAAAGCGGCUAAAAAACGCACGCACACACACAGAAACACCUGCUGCCGUUCGCCGGUUGUUCGCCAAAAGCAACCAUAAAUAAAAGAAAAAGAAAAAGCAAACGUAAAAUAAAAGAAAAGUGUAAGCCAGAGAGAGAGAGAGAGAGAGAGAGAUUGUUGUGAUUGUUUUCCCGUACAUUUACCGCUGGAUCCUUCGUUAGAAGACAUCGCGUCGGAGCAGACCCAGACCCAGACCCAGACACAGACCCGAUCAUCGCCCACUGUGCCCCAAGCCAAGAGAUUGUCAACGGUGGAGUGGAAGUGGAUGUGAAAUGAGAAGAGAAGAGAAGAGCAGUGAAUGAAGAAAAGCCGUGUCGCCGUAUUUUGUUGUUGCCCUUCUCGACGGACGAAAGAUAGAGAAGGAAAGGGAGAGAGAAGCUACGAAAAUCGGUAAUUUAAUUAACAAUACAACAUUAGUACCGACAUAAAAGAGCAUAAGGGCGCCGCGCGCAGGAGGACCCGAAAAAUGUUUGCUGGAAUACGAAAACGCCUGGCACGCAAGCAGAACGAAAAGGACUGCGAUGAGGAUGACAAGGACGAUGUACACGACAUUAUGCCGCCCCCCAAUUUCAUACAAAUCUCGCAGGGCAGAAUCCAAUUGGUGCAUCAGCCCCGCACCCCGGACCCCUCCGACACGGGCACGCUCUCCUUGGAGCGGAUCAAUGGCGGCGGCAGCCUCGGCUCUGGCGGCUGUGAUAAGAGCCAAUGCGGGUCGCCAACGUUCGAGAAGGAAUUGCGCGAGCAAAUUGAGAACAUGAAUCGCAUUAUGAAAUCCAAAGAGCGCAAACAAAUGCAGACAUGUCGGGAUCACAAGGCACUGCAGACGCGCUUCGCCCGCCAGGAGAGUCUGCUGCACUCCAUGCAGCAGGAGAACCGGUCGCUGCUCACCCGCAUCCGGCAGUACGAGCACUGCUUGGACGACGUGAUGCGCAAGGUGGUGGACGCCAUUGUGGCCGAGGACAAUCUGCGCGAGGAGGUGAGCAUGCUGAAGGGCCGUGUACGGGAUCUGGAGGCGCUGUCCGCCAGUCCGGUGAAGGGGCGGGACGAGGGCUACUGCACGAUGAGCAGUGGCCAGCCGCAGCCGUCGAACGGCCACCUGGAGGAUCUGCCCGAGGAGCCCGAGCAGUGGUUACUGCCGCCGGAGCCCUGCUCAACGGAAAUGGAGGACUGGAGCAUGUCGCAGGAAGAGCUGGCUGUGAUGACAUUCGACGACGAGCGGGAGCACCACCAGCAGCAUCAACGAAGGAAGCGCGACCACGACUGGCUCUGGCCCUCGAGUGACUUCAUCAACUCGACCACCGUCGAGACGGACUCCGUUGCCGACGGCAUUGCACAACUGCUGCAGCAAAAGAUUGUCUACUCGGAGGAUGAAGAGGUGGCCUGCACGGACUUCACCAACGACUUCUACAAGCUGGUCAACAUCCGCUCCAAUUCGUCGCGCAGCCUCUACUCCUACCUCGAGGGCGAGACGGACGACCAGGACGAGGAUGACGAGGAUGAGGCAGACUCGAGCAUGUCCGAGAGCCAAGCGGCACACACGGCCCGGGCCGCCACCAGUCCCACGCCCAGCGCGGCGGGACGGGCACAGCUGACGAGCUGCUCCUCCAGCGAAACGGAAGAAAACUCGAUCAGCCACCCGCCGCCGCCGACGGAGUCGCAUCAGGAGAAGGAGGAAGAGCCUGACUACGCGGUCAUUGACGAGUGCCGGCGCCGCGUCAGAGACAUCGAGAUCGAGGACGUGCCGCUGAUCAUGAGCGCCACGCCUUUGCAGCCCCUCAAUGAGCAGCAAUGCAUAGCGCAGAUCAUCAAGAGCGAGCUGCGACGCCCGCCCCAUGUGCUGGUAAAGUCCAAGUCCGUGCUGGAGGAUCAGGAGCCCAGCUGCAUCCUGCGCCACAAUCAGCGUCGCGAGCUGGAGUCCACGGUGGUGCGCAGCGACAGCAUCAGCUGUGCCCUGAUGACAAAAAUUGCCAAAGAGGCAGCGCCCCCGUCACCGGCGAUCGUGUCCAAGCUGAAGGAGAGAAUUCUGAACCGCCAAUUUUCCGCGCCGGCGACAUCGAGUCCUUGGCGCCGGAGCAAUGGUUGGAAGCGGGUGACGUCCCCGGUGCAGAUACCAGCAGCUGCAUCCCCAAAGAAGAAGCAAGCCAAGUCAACGGAGCUGCCAAAGAGCUGCCUGCCCAAGGCGGUGCCCACCAGAAUUCCACCGAGCAUCAAUUCAUCGACGUCCUCCACCUCGUCGGUGUCGUCAUCCUCGCCCUCGCCUUCGUCUUCGUCUCCUUCGCCACAGUCGCCCCAACAACAACAAAAGCAGCAGCAGCAGCCAAGACCCUCAGGACAGCAGCAGCCCAAAUCGAAAAUUCCUCCGCCAGUUCCUGUGCGGCGAUCCUAUGCGAGCUAAGUGGCGGAUUGGCGUCGCCGUUAAACCUCAAAUGAAUAAUCGUCAAGCAAACAAAUAUUCAAAGAUUAAAAAGACUAAAUUGUGAUAUAUUCAAACAAACAAACAAAAAACAAAACACAGAGGAAGAACGUAAGAGUGUAGAGGAUAGCCAGCAGCGAGUUUUAUAUAGCAAGGAUGUCUCGCAGUGUUCGCCCACUUACUUCAGCACGCAUGCUCCACAAGAUUAAGGCGCUGACCACCCCGCAGAGCAACGAAGGAUUUGUGGUCAACCGGAAUCCCAGGAAUCUGGAGAGGCUACGCAUUGCGUACAAGCCCAGCGGCUACCACUUGGAGAAGCCGGGUCGUUCCUACUGGCACACGCUCGAGAUAAACACCAGCGGUCGUUAUGUCAGCGCCGACGUGAAGCACUACGGCAUCAUUCUGAGCGCCAGCACCGCCGAAUGGGCCAUCAAACAACAGCUGUACAAGACCAACGACACCUGAGCGUUUGUGAAUCUUGGCCGUGUUCUGGCACACCGAUGCCUUCAGUCGGGCAUCACCGAAAUGACAUGCAAUGUGGAUGCUGUCGCCGGCAGCAAGCUUCAAAAGUUGCUGCAAACCCUGCAGGACAAUGGGGUAAGAUUCAAGGAGCCCACACGAUUGAAGAACAAGCAGCCCUGGGAUGCGUAAAGACAGGAAAAGCCUUGGGAGGUCUCGGAGCAAUCAAUUCCGGCCACCUCAUUGCAAACAACCGCAACCAAAUCAAAACAAAAGUGAAAAUCGUUUGGUUCUAGUUUUCGUCUCGUUUAGAAUAAACGUUCAUUUUUAUGC